UGCGGUAGCUUGGUCGAACUGCAAACGCUUAUUUAUUGUUAUUGACACUAAAACAAAACCAUUGGCAUAGAAAGAUCGCUUAUCGCAGUUUGAUCUCUAGCAAAUCCUAAUUCGCUCAAUUUUGCACCAAGUGCUCCAUACAAUAUACCAUUAGAAAGGUCUAGACGCUCACGAAGAAGAAGAAAAAGAAGUUGCAUUUGAAAUGUACCGACGUUGAUGUUGAAUGUACCGACGCAUUCUUCGUAUAUACUAGACCGAACAUGUAGCCAACGUGGAGCUAAUCCACAUAAUCGGAAAAGGGGAAGAAAUCGCGAACACAAUUUAUUAUCAAGGGCAAAAUAGACAGUACGCAAGGGUUGGUCAGAAGAAAACAUUCGUGGGUCCAAAAUCUGUGGAAGUGGUUUGGAUGCACAUGGAUGCGCAUUGCGCAAUGCGAAUGUUUACGUUUGGUCGAACUAUUCAGAAGUGCCGUACGUAAGCAACAUCAGAAUUUACAAAUUAAUAGCCAACGUUCACAAUGUACUUAAAGAAGAAAUGUAAAAUCAAUAUCAAAUCCUAGUAUAUUUUACGAAAAUAUUAUAUAAUUUGUAUGAAAUGAAUAAUCAAAGACUUAGAAUUAUUUUUAUAGAAAUAUUUUAAACUGCAUUUUUACAGAUCAAGAAGGUCAACUCUGACGUAAAUAAGUUGUUAUCAAACUACAUUUUUACAGGUCAAAAAGAUCAGUUUUAUGAUGCGGUUUCUACUAAUAAAAACGAUAAAUAUAUUAUUUUGUUCUAGAAUUUUAAGCUGAGAUAAGAGAGGGUAUAAAAUGACAGAAUCUAACAAGAACAUUGUAGAUGAGCGAAGGAAAUAGUGAAUUCAGUGAAGUGUGUGUGUGUAUACUUUUAUAAGGUAGGUGUAUUUAGCAAAUGUAGAGAUUUCUUGUUUUCUGCAAUUAUUUUUAGCACAUAAUAACAAAUUAAUAUAAUUUUAUUUCUUUUAAAGGUAUUUGAUUAUACGGUUUAUUUCUAAUUUCUAAUUUGAUUUACAAAUAUUUUUUAUUUCUUGUUUUUUCCGAAUUGUAUGAUGUACCUGUCCUCAUAUUUUUUAUUGAUUUAUGUUUUAUUUUCAAAAAUAAUGCCUUUUGAUGACAUAUGUAGCAAGUACUUCGUCUUGUUUUGUCAUUUUCUUGUUAUAAGACAGAAACGAGACGGGAUUUGAUUGCUAUCUACAUUAGGAUAAUAGUAUUUUAUGGUUUAUUUCUUAUUUCUUGUUUUUAUAAAUUGUAUGAUACAUCUGUCCUUAUAUUUUUAAAUAAUUUUACGAUUUAUUUAAAAAAUAGUAGCUUUUUUAUGCUACAUUCUACCGUAUUCCUUCUUUUUAACAAUAUACUACCAAGUAUAGCUGAUUCUCAGUAUGACAGUAAUGAAUUUUUAACAGUAUGAGAGUAAUCGUGUUGCAUUUUAUUUUAUAAAAAUGAAUUGUCAAUCUUAGUGCUGCAUUGGGUAAGUAAUAAAAACACUAUGCGUUAUUUUAUUAUUUUUAUUUAAAUUAGUACUAGUACACUGUUAAAGUUGGGAAUUAAAAAACUAGAUGCCCUAGCCGAUUUAUUUUAACAUUUUCACACAUGGACCUAACGGCAUAACGGUUAAACGAUGGUGUCUCGCAUUCUAUGUCUGUGCGCUGUUUAAAUUGUCAAUUAGAUUCUUCAUCACUAUUGCGACGUUUUUUUUUUAAUUUUUCUUGGCAUUUUCAAAGCAGCCUCAACGAUGUGGUUGCUCAUUUUUAAACAAAGGCUUGAUGAGUUUAUUAAAUUUAUCCGGGAAUGCUUGAUGUCUUAAAUAUUCUCUGGAAUCUCUAUGCAUAUAUGUGACUUCUAAUAUUUUUUUAUAAUUAAGGCUGUCCUUUGUCGUAGUCUUGUGGAUUUUUAUAAAAUAGUAAAUUAUAUAGCCCACAAGUAGCUGUAUACUUGUUAUCGUUAAUCCAAUCAUUUUUGGGAGUAAAUUUGAUUUCCUUAUCGCCCAUCAUCCAUUUAUCAGUUUGCCAAACAUACUGUGGAUCGUAAGCUCUAUCAAUAUCUGGUGAAUGAUGCCAAUAUGUUUGAAGGUGUUCAUCUUCUUCGUCUAUGCUCUCUUCGCCCUUCCGUUGCAUAUUUUUUAAGUAAUUGUGUUGGUAUCCGCUGGUCUCUUCAGUAAGCUCCUUGACACAUGCACACACUAAAUAAUUUCAUAACUGUUCUGAUAUCGAACAGAUAUAUUUAGACCAGUUUGAAACCUGUUCAGACCUGUUCACCACCUGUUCAACACCUGUUCAAAGCUGAUCGAGACCUGUUCAAGACCUGAUCAAAGCUGAUCAGACCUGUUCGAGACCUGAUCGAGACCUGAUCAAAGCUGAUCGAGACCUGUUCAAGACCUGAUCAAAGCUGAUCAAGACCUGUUCGAGACCUGUUCAAGACCUGAUCGAGACCUGAUCAAAGCUGAUCGAGACCUGUUCAAGACCUGAUCAAAGCUGAUCAAGACCUGUUCGAGACCUGUUCAAGACCUGAUCGAGACCUGAUCAAAGCUGUUCGUGACCUGAUCAAGACCUGUUCGAGACCUGAUCAGACCUGUUCGAGACCUGAUCAGACCUGAUCAAAGCUGAUCGAGACCUGAUCGAGACCUGUUCAAGACCUGAUUCAAAGCUUUCAGACGUUGAUACCUACAAUGAAUAAGGAUUUAAAGAGACAACUUAUAACUAAACGAAAAAAAAAAUCCGAAAUAACUUGAGACAACUAAAACCUACUGAUACUUUCAUGUAUCAUCUCUCUCUUGUCGUUUCCCCAUUACUGAGGAUCAUGAUUUCUUCCAAUAUUCCUAACAAUUCUGUUUCAUUGGUCUCUAUCUUCAGCUACUCUAAGAACUUCGCGGAAUGAGUUUUCAGCUGAGCUGAAUUCAUAAUUUGGUCGGACUAUCUAGUUGGUAAUCGUCCUCUAGAUUAAUAUUUUCAAACUAUCGUCACCUCUGCGAACCACGUGACUGAUGAAUUGUAGAAUUCGUUGCAUACAUAUUGUGGACAGCCUCUAUUUAAUGUCGAGUUGGUUUACAAUGGAAACGUUUGUCCUAUGAGCUGUCCAAGGUAUGCGCAGCAUUCUUACUCAACUCUUCGAAGGAGAUCAAGCAUAUCUUGCUCAUUUGCUGCUAUAAGUGUAGUGUCAUCAGCAAAUCUUAAAUUGGAGAUUUUGCUACCAGCUACUGUUUGUUAUUCCUCACUGUUUGUUUUCGGAUUUUUUCGAUAACGCUCUGUAUUCAUCGUUUGUUCCGUAUCUAGUUUUAUGUUUUUUCCGCGUUGAAUCAUAGUCAUAGCUCACUAGAAUCACUCAUGCCAUGAGCAGGGAAAAAUGUAACCAAGUUCAAUAAAUGUCUUAAAUGCAGCACUUUUACAUUGAUUCUUAUGGAAGAACAAGCACACAUUUAGACAUUUGAGGGGCCUUUUGAGCAUAACAUAAUACCAUUCAGUUUUCCGUCCAACUAAAAGUAUAUUUAAUAGUCUUCUGUCAUCGAGGCCUAUGCUCUCGGUGUGCAUCGCCCCGCCUUCUCUCUUCUGACGCGAGUCAGAAGCUCCACCCGUCGAGGAUUUGGAAUUCCCAGCUGUCGUGCACGUCACAGUCGACGGUUCUAUAAAAGCUGGCGGUUCCAAUCCUCGAUAUCUCAGUCCGCAGUCGUCCUCCGGCCUGUACGGGCUUGCCCGUCAGCCUGGGGCGCUGCACUCGCCUUACCCUGACUCUGUGGUCUGGGGUCGUUCUACCAUAAGAAGUUGUUUUAUUUUAUUAGUCUAGUUCCAGUAUAGUGACUUCUCUUUUAGGUUUUCGUUUCAUAAUGUAAGAAAACGAGCUUUGGUCUGGUUCUUUUCAGAACCAGCCAAAGUUUCAUAGAAGACAAGAAACCAUUAGUUCUUAGUGUAAGAACUGUACUGAGUUCUGUUCUUCGAACGGCAGAACUCAGUACAACUCUUCAAGUAGCAGAGUAGGAGCAUUUUAUUUUUAGGUUUCUAAUGUAAGAAUCAUGUAUCGAGUUCUUAUUAGAACUCGGUACACCCCAGCACUGGUCUUUAUCAAGGCCCAUAGUGCACCUCCAAUUGCCUUAGCCCCGGAGGGCUGAGGCGUAGCAGCGAUCCUGCAGAGCCAUCCAUAUACCGAAAAUGGAUGAGGACCCAACAGGCCGGGGGUGAAUUGAGUAGCCUCUUGCAUGCUGGAAGUUAGAGGCCCUUCGAGGGGGACUUACGACUCUAACUUUCAGCUCCUGUUGUGGACAUGGCGCCCAACUAGUGGAUCAACCCUCCCACCCGACCCUUGAGAUUGAGAGUCACACCAAGCCAUCCGGCUGAGUUCACCUGGAGGUGGGCCCAAAGAUGACAGCGGGGAGGCCAUGUUAGAGUGCCUGGUAGGCCAACAUUCCGCCUCAUCAAGGGCUCCUGCGGAAACCAGAUGUCUCGGUGUGCCAGAUCGCCGACGAGCCAGACUUCGCCGAAGUCGGAUGUCCCCCAGAAGCCAACGAGAGUCCUCGGAGUAGCCGCUGAGAAGAAUCUCCUGGGCAGGCGCCUGGUCCAUGCCUAGCAGCGAGAACUCACCCUACGUGAACCCGUUGGAACAUGGUAGAUGGGAGAACAGAGGACCUAGGAGGAGCCGAACUUCGAGGGAGCUGGUACAUUGACGGAGGAUGGUGGACGCAGGAGCAAGAGAUGACGUUCAGACCAACGACGACCCCAGAAAGCUGUCUCAUGUGAGUUUGUGUGAUUUUCAAAGACUUUUUUUUAUUGUAUUUUCUCUUUUACAUUUUUUUACAUGUAUUUUAAAUUUAUUUCGAUUUAAUAAAUUUUUAUUCCAGCCACAGAGUCUUCCAAAGGAGGGGGGAUGUCAUCGAGGCCUAUGCUCUCGGUGUGCAUCGCCCCGCCUUCUCUCUUCUGACGCGAGUCAGAAGCUCCACCCGUCGAGGAUUUGGAAUUCCCAGCUGUCGUGCACGUCACAGUCGACGGUUCUAUAAAAGCUGGCGGUUCCAAUCCUCGAUAUCUCAGUCCGCAGUCGUCCUCCGGCCUGUACGGGCUUGCCCGUCAGCCUGGGGCGCUGCACUCGCCUUACCCUGACUCUGUGGUCUGGGGUCGUUCUACCAUAAGAA